GAUGCUGAUUGGUCCGAACCACUAGUGGUGUGGACACAAAUGCAUUACUUGAAGCCUGACAGCCUCACUCAACACAAGUCGUGUUUCUGGCCACCUGAAGAAUGUUUUGAUUUGUUGUCGGAGGAGUGGAGCGUGGUGAGACAUGUGAGCUUUGAAAAUGUGGAAGUGAACAUUAACCCGAACUGUCAAGGCACCGUUGAGCACAAUGGACCUAUUCAGCGGCUUAUAGAAAAAUGUGUCUGGACUGCACAGCUCCCAGCUGAGGAGAAACAGGGCUCGGCAGGACGAAGCACCUGCUGCAGUAAGCGAACACACCGUCUGCUGUCAUUUUGACUUGACCAGUAGACUUCACUACAAGUCCAUUGGCUGUUGAAACAGGGAGGCCAAAUGAGAGGGUCAGUCAGAG